AAAUGAAAUGGAUUAAAUAUAGCUGGUGAUCCUUAAUGAAAUGGAUUAAAUAUAGCUAGUGAUCCUUAAAUGAAAUGGAUUAAAUAUAGCUGGUGAUCCUUAAAUGAAAUGGAUUAAAUAUAGCUGGUGAUCCUUAAAUGAAAUGGAUUAAAUAUAGCUGGUGAUCCUUAAAUGAAAUGGAUUAAAUAUAGGUGAUCCUUAAAUGAGACGGAUUAAAUAUAGCUGGUGAUCCUUAAAUGAAAUGGAUUAAAUAUAGCUGGUGAUCCUUAAAUGAGAUGGAUUAAAUAUAGCUGGUGAUCCUUAAAUGAGAUGGAUAAAAUAUAGCUGGUGAUCCUUAAAUGAAAUGGAUUAAAUAUAGCUGGUGAUCCUUAAAUGAGAUGGAUUAAAUAUAGCUGGUGAUCCUUAAAUGAAAUGGAUUAAAUGCCAAGUGGCUCACCAUCUUCUAACCUUCAGUUUAGUCACCUGAAAAAGUUCACAAUUCAAAAUAUGAUUUAUAAAGGAACCCAAGCUCAUCUCUGUCUCUGUUAUUUCCUGAGAAGAAAGUUUCCUGGGAGAUACUGCUGCAGCGUGUGCUCAUGGAUCUUUCAUCAGCAUCUUCUUAUGGUAGAAAAGAAACUGGUCUCCUCAGUUGUCUCAUUUGAGAUCAACAAAGCAUAUGAAGAAUGCCAUGGCCCAAGUGGAGAGAGGAGAGGAGGACCAGCAUGUGGAAACAGAUGUUCGCAGGAUCCGAUGGCAGGAGCGUCCAAAUGUAAAAGCUUUUUGGAGAGCCAUUUGGUGAUAGGAAUUAAGGCUUAAAAAUACCCUUUGGCCCAGCAAUUCCACUACGAGCAACUUAUCCUAAGGAAAAAUAUCAGAAGAAUGCACAAAGAUGAAUGAAUAAAAAUGGUUAUUCAUCACAGGGGUUUUGUAAUAGAGAAAAAUCCUGCAAAACAGGGAAUUAUUUAAUCAGAGGUAAUAAGCCAAGUGAAAAGUAACUGAAACGCGUGAAAGAGGCUGGGUGUUGGACAGUAGGGAGUAGUGGCAAAUCAGAAGUGCGGCCAACUGGCCAGGCAGCUCUGGUGGAUGGCUGUGUGGGGCUGUUGGCUCAGGGUUGCCAGAGUCCUUGAUUUAUCAAAAUAAACUGGAAAUCCAUAUUUUUUGUAAGAUGUUUUCCAAGUUUUAAAGUGAUGUGCAGGAAAAACCAAAUGCAGUUGUGGACCCUGAGUUACGGGCUGCCAGUAUACAACAUUUAACAAACGUUAUAUUAGAAUCUACAGUGAAACAAAAUGCUGUUACUAAAACUGAUGCUAGAGUUCUAUCUUUAUUGGCAUAUAAAGAUACUCCAGAUUUUGCAAAGUAGCAUGUGUACUAUGAUCGCAAUUUUUGCAAAAAAAUCCCCAUAUGUUUGUUGCAUUUGUAUACCGAGGGCAAAGACUUGUAUGAUAUCCACUGAAAUCCUCAUGGUUAUCCACGGUGAGGAACUCAGGGACAUUUUGAUUUUGUAUUUUCUAAUUUUUCUACUUUGAGAAUAUAUUGUAUAAUAAAAUUUAAUUUAAAAUAACAAAAUAUGUUUGCUUCUACAAUGGAGAAUGUGAUACAAAAUGCAACAGGAGAACAGAAUGAGAAGAACUUGAAGACGGCAGAUAAUUUAAUAGGAAAUUAAGAAUGCAUUAAAACUGUCGGGAAAAAAUUA
ensembl:lncRNA